AGCGAACGUUAGCGGCGGGCCUAACACAUGCAAGUCGAACGAGAAUGAGGGGGCAACUCCUCUAGUAAAGUGGCGGACGGGUGCGUAACACGUGGGUAAUCUACCUUCCAGCGGGGGACAACCGUCCGAAAGGAUGGCUAAUACCGCGUACGUCGGCGAGGGCCCUGGUCCUUGUCGGGAAAGACGGCCUCUUCAUGAAAGCUGUCCCUGGAAGAUGAGCUCGCGGCCCAUCAGCUAGUUGGGA
rnacentral:rRNA from 1 species